ensembl:lncRNA
GUUCCCUAUGAAGAUCACUCCUUUUGUUUUCCUCGCAAUAUUGUGGAAAGCAAGAUACGUGGCAAACACAGGUUUUCUUCUCCCCUUAUCGCAUAUAAUCUUUGUAAUGAAUCCUCCCUUUGAAUAUUUCUUGAAUAUUUCCAUGAAUAUCUUCAUGAAUAUUUUCGUGAAUAUUUUCAUGAAUAUUUUCAUGAAUAUUUUCAUGAAUAUUUUCAUGAAUAUUUUCAUGAAUAUUUUUUUAUUCUUUUUUUGAAUAUCUUUUCUUUCACCAACAAUUAGCCCACAGGUUUCCUAUGAAGAUCACUCCUUUUGUUUUCCUCGCAAUAUUGUAGAAAGCAAGAUACGUGGCAAAACAGGUUUCCUUCUCCCCUUAUCACAUAUAAUCUUUGUAAUGAAUCCUCCCUUUGAAUAUUUCUUGAAUAUUUACAUGAAUAUCUUCAUGAAUAUUUUCGUGAAUAUUUUCGUGAAUAUUUUGAUGAAUAUUUUGAUGAAUAUUUUUUGAUUAUUUUUUUGAAUAUCUUUUCUUUCACCAACCAUU